rnacentral:rRNA from 1 species
UAGGGAAUCUUCCGCAAUGGGCGAAAGCUUGACGGAGCAACGCCGCGUGAGUGAUGAAGGUCUUCGGAUCGUAAAACUCUGUUAUUAGGGAAGAACAAAUGUGUAAGUAACUAUGCACGUCUUGACGGUACCUAAUCAGAAAGCCACGGCUAACUACGUGCCAGCAGCCGCGGUAAUACGUAGGUGGCAAGCGUUAUCCGGAAUUAUUGGGCGUAAAGCGCUCGUAGGCGGUUUUUUAAGUCUGAUGUGAAAGCCCACGGCUCAACCGUGGAGGGUCAUUUGAAACUGGAAAACUUGAGUGCAGAAGAGGAAAGUGGAAUUCCAUGUGUAGCGGUGAAAUGCGCAGAGAUAUGGAGGAACACCAGUGGCGAAGUCGACUUUCUGGUCUGUAACUGACGCUGAUGUGCGCAAGCGUGGGGAUCAAACAGG